rnacentral:pre_miRNA from 1 species
CAACUACUCCCUCUUUCCCAAAUUUCUUGUCUUAGAUUUGUCUAGAUACGGAUGUAUCUAAUACUAAAAUGUGACUUGAUACAUCCGUAUCUAGAAAAAUAUAAGACAAGAAUUUUGGGACGGAGGGAGUACUUU